UUAAGUUAUUAAGGGCGCACGGUGGAUGCCUUGGCACUAGAAGCCGAUGAAGGACGUUACUAACGACGAUAUGCUUUGGGGAGCUGUAAGUAAGCUUUGAUCCAGAGAUUUCCGAAUGGGGAAACCCAGCAUGAGUUAUGUCAUGUUAUCGAUAUGUGAAUACAUAGCAUAUCAGAAGGCACACCCGGAGAACUGAAACAUCUUAGUACCCGGAGGAAGAGAAAGAAAAUUCGAUUCCCUUAGUAGCGGCGAGCGAAACGGGAAGAGCCCAAACCAACAAGCUUGCUUGUUGGGGUUGUAGGACACUCUAUACGGAGUUACAAAGGACGACAUUAGACGAAUCAUCUGGAAAGAUGAAUCAAAGAAGGUAAUAAUCCUGUAGUCGAAAAUGUUGUCUCUCUUGAGUGGAUCCUGAGUACGACGGAGCACGUGAAAUUCCGUCGGAAUCUGGGAGGACCAUCUCCUAAGGCUAAAUACUCUCUAGUGACCGAUAGUGAACCAGUACCGUGAGGGAAAGGUGAAAAGCACCCCGGAAGGGGAGUGAAAUAGAACCUGAAACCGUGUGCUUACAAGUAGUCAGAGCCCGUUAAUGGGUGAUGGCGUGCCUUUUGUAGAAUGAACCGGCGAGUUACGAUUUGAUGCAAGGUUAAGCAGUAAAUGUGGAGCCGUAGCGAAAGCGAGUCUGAAUAGGGCGUUUAGUAUUUGGUCGUAGACCCGAAACCAGGUGAUCUACCCUUGGUCAGGUUGAAGUUCAGGUAACACUGAAUGGAGGACCGAACCGACUUACGUUGAAAAGUGAGCGGAUGAACUGAGGGUAGCGGAGAAAUUCCAAUCGAACCUGGAGAUAGCUGGUUCUCUCCGAAAUAGCUUUAGGGCUAGCCUCAAGUGAUGAUUAUUGGAGGUAGAGCACUGUUUGGACGAGGGGCCCCUCUCGGGUUACCGAAUUCAGACAAACUCCGAAUGCCAAUUAAUUUAACUUGGGAGUCAGAACAUGGGUGAUAAGGUCCGUGUUCGAAAGGGAAACAGCCCAGACCACCAGCUAAGGUCCCAAAAUAUAUGUUAAGUGGAAAAGGAUGUGGCGUUGCCCAGACAACUAGGAUGUUGGCUUAGAAGCAGCCAUCAUUUAAAGAGUGCGUAAUAGCUCACUAGUCGAGUGACACUGCGCCGAAAAUGUACCGGGGCUAAACAUAUUGCCGAAGCUGUGGAUUGUCCUUUGGACAAUGGCAGGAGAGCGUUCUAAGGGCGUUGAAGCAUGAUCGUAAGGACAUGUGGAGCGCUUAGAAGUGAGAAUGCCGGUGUGAGUAGCGAAAGACGGGUGAGAAUCCCGUCCACCGAUUGACUAAGGUUUCCAGAGGAAGGCUCGUCCGCUCUGGGUUAGUCGGGUCCUAAGCUGAGGCCGACAGGCGUAGGCGAUGGAUAACAGGUUGAUAUUCCUGUACCACCUAUAAUCGUUUUAAUCGAUGGGGGGACGCAGUAGGAUAGGCGAAGCGUGCGAUUGGAUUGCACGUCUAAGCAGUAAGGCUGAGUAUUAGGCAAAUCCGGUACUCGUUAAGGCUGAGCUGUGAUGGGGAGAAGACAUUGUGUCUUCGAGUCGUUGAUUUCACACUGCCGAGAAAAGCCUCUAGAUAGAAAAUAGGUGCCCGUACCGCAAACCGACACAGGUAGUCAAGAUGAGAAUUCUAAGGUGAGCGAGCGAACUCUCGUUAAGGAACUCGGCAAAAUGACCCCGUAACUUCGGGAGAAGGGGUGCUCUUUAGGGUUAACGCCCAGAAGAGCCGCAGUGAAUAGGCCCAAGCGACUGUUUAUCAAAAACACAGGUCUCUGCUAAACCGUAAGGUGAUGUAUAGGGGCUGACGCCUGCCCGGUGCUGGAAGGUUAAGAGGAGUGGUUAGCUUCUGCGAAGCUACGAAUCGAAGCCCCAGUAAACGGCGGCCGUAACUAUAACGGUCCUAAGGUAGCGAAAUUCCUUGUCGGGUAAGUUCCGACCCGCACGAAAGGCGUAACGAUUUGGGCACUGUCUCAACGAGAGACUCGGUGAAAUCAUAGUACCUGUGAAGAUGCAGGUUACCCGCGACAGGACGGAAAGACCCCGUGGAGCUUUACUGUAGCCUGAUAUUGAAAUUCGGCACAGCUUGUACAGGAUAGGUAGGAGCCUUUGAAACGUGAGCGCUAGCUUACGUGGAGGCGCUGGUGGGAUACUACCCUAGCUGUGCUGGCUUUCUAACCCGCACCACUUAUCGUGGUGGGAGACAGUGUCAGGCGGGCAGUUUGACUGGGGCGGUCGCCUCCUAAAAGGUAACGGAGGCGCUCAAAGGUUCCCUCAGAAUGGUUGGAAAUCAUUCAUAGAGUGUAAAGGCAUAAGGGAGCUUGACUGCGAGACCUACAAGUCGAGCAGGGUCGAAAGACGGACUUAGUGAUCCGGUGGUUCCGCAUGGAAGGGCCAUCGCUCAACGGAUAAAAGCUACCCCGGGGAUAACAGGCUUAUCUCCCCCAAGAGUUCACAUCGACGGGGAGGUUUGGCACCUCGAUGUCGGCUCAUCGCAUCCUGGGGCUGUAGUCGGUCCCAAGGGUUGGGCUGUUCGCCCAUUAAAGCGGUACGCGAGCUGGGUUCAGAACGUCGUGAGACAGUUCGGUCCCUAUCCGUCGUGGGCGUAGGAAAUUUGAGAGGAGCUGUCCUUAGUACGAGAGGACCGGGAUGGACAUACCUCUGGUGUACCAGUUGUCGUGCCAACGGCAUAGCUGGGUAGCUAUGUGUGGACGGGAUAAGUGCUGAAAGCAUCUAAGCAUGAAGCCCCCCUCAAGAUGAGAUUUCCCAACUUCGGUUAUAAGAUCCCUCAAAGAUGAUGAGGUUAAUAGGUUCGAGGUGGAAGCAUGGUGACAUGUGGAGCUGACGAAUACUAAUCGAUCGAAGACUUAAUCAA
rnacentral:rRNA from 1 species